UCCCGUGAAGAACGCUGAGUGCCAGGCUCUGCAAUUUUUCUAAUUUGUUCCCUUUUCCUUGUCUGACAGGAGUGUUUGCCGCCUCUGAUGCUAAUCGUGAGACUUUUCAGCAAAGUCGUCCAUCCCGUAAGAUUCCCCAUCUCAGCUCUGCCCACUCUGACGUCUCUUUUGUUUGUGGUGAAGAUGGGUUCCCUCUCUGGAAGGCAGAUGAGGGCAAACAAGAGCAGAAAGUCGCCUCGCAAGUGCAGGUGGUCAAUGAGAGACGGAGGUGUCAUGGUGCAGAUGGAGAUAAAUGGCGCGCUCUCAUCCUGUUUACGCUGCGUGAAAGAUUGAAGAGUACGCCGCAACGCACACGCCACUCAACGCCGACGGGCGCUCACCGGCAUCUGCAAACAGAUCAAGUGCUUCACCACAAGGCCUUUCAAGGUUUACUCCAGUUGACUCGGACGACAAACAAAAUUCAUCGGACAACUCUGGCCGGCUCUCGGCAACGCCGGACCGUGUUGAAGUCGCGCGCGUCCAUGCGGCGCUAAUGCGGUCACAAAGCAAAGCGCCUCUCGGAGGGGACGCCCUAUCUUUGCGGACACAGACUGCCACCAAGGUCUGCGUUUGGCGUCUGAAAAUGCCUGCGGGUGUCGCCGGCCAACCCGAGCGAGCGUGUUGACAAAGGACGAGCUGAGGCAGCCGACAUGCGUGCAAAUGCCACCCAUCCCGGCGGGGUCGGGUUGCCUUUUCACGCCUUCCAAGGAGCUCUUCCCGCCGUGACUCUGUUAUCUUGAGGCCCACAUGUCCGCACUGAGGCUUCCGCCAGUUCACAUAGCGCAUAACCAAUCCCACCGGUUCGGGAUUAGGGGGGUAGCCUGUCCACCGACACCACUCGAAGCCACCACGAAGGCUUGGAAGGCAAGAUAGAUCGGAGACGGCCGGCGGCAAAGACAGACAACUAAGCCGGACGGAAAGGAAAGGAGAGAUCGGUAAAAGAGUUUUUGUAAAGUGACUGUACUUUAUGAAACACGGAUUCUACGACCAAACCGAA